rnacentral:tRNA from 1 species
UGCAUCGGCCGGGAAUCGAACCCCGUGUGGCAGGCGAACAUUCUACCACUGAACCACCGAGGC